AUAACCUUUGCGGAGAAGAACUAACUAGGAUUCCCUCAGUAGCUGCGAGCGAACAGGGAAGAGCCCAGCACCGAAUCCCGCGGCCGAUAUCGGGCGCCGGGAAAUGUGGUGUUAGGGAGGAUCCGUUUAUCCCGAGACCGUACGGCGCGUCCAAGUCCUUCUUGAACGGGGCCACAGCCCAUAGAGGGUGCCAGGCCCGUAGCGACCGCCGUCGAUCGCGGGAGGAUCUCUCCUCAGAGUCGGGUUGCUUGAGAGUGCAGCCCUAAGAGGGUGGUAAACUCCAUCUAAGGCUAAAUAUGACCACGAGACCGAUAGCGAACAAGUACCGUGAGGGAAAGUUGAAAAGCACUUUGAAGAGAGAGUUCAAGAGUACGUGAAACCGUUCAGGGGUAAACCUGAGAAACCCGAAAGGUCGAAAGGGGAAAUUCAUUCGCGUUUCGACCGUCGGAGCGGAACGUUCGCGUGACGGACGCGGCGUGCGCAAGUACGUCGCGAUUCCGCGCCUUUCGUUUCGCGAAUCGGCGUCGAACGCGUGCACUUUUCCCCUAGUAGGACGUCGCGAUCCGUUGGGUGUCGGUCUAAGGCCCGCGGCGGAGCCCGGACGCUCGCUUCACGGCGUAGCGUCCGGACCCGCGGUGUCCCGGCCGGCUCGCUCGACGGUAUACAGAUGGCGCGGGGCCGCUACUUUUCAGUUAGCGUUCGGCCCGCGGCAAGCGCGUCCGCUCGCGACGGCGAUCGGACCUAGUGCCGGUCCUGUCCACGGACGACUGUUGGCCGCGGUGUUCUCGAACAGACCUCGAUUCUUGAAACGCCGAUCUGCGACGCUAUAGCUUUGGGUACUUUCAGGACCCGUCUUGAACACGCCCCA
rnacentral:rRNA from 1 species